UGGGGGAUAUUGCACAAUGGAGGGAACUCUGAUGCAGCGAUGCCGCGUGAGGGAAGAAGGUUUUCGGAUUGUAAACCUCUGUGGAGGGGGACGAUAAUGACGGUACCCCUUUAGGAAGCCACGGCUAACUACGUGCCAGCAGCCGCGGUAAUACGUAGGUGGCGAGCGUUGUCCGGAAUUACUGGGUUUAAAGGGUGCGCAGGCGGCGUGCCAAGUCAGCGGUCAAAGUUCCGGGCUCAACCCGGUGAUGCCGUUGAAACUGGUGUGCUUGAGUGCGUGCGAGGGAGGCGGAAUGCGUUGUGUAGCGGUGAAAUGCAUAGAUAUGACGCAGAACUCCGAUUGCGAAGGCAGCUUUCCAGCACGCCACUGACGCUGAGGCACGAAAGCGUGGGGAUCGAACAGGAUUAGAUACCCUGGUAGU
rnacentral:rRNA from 1 species